rnacentral:rRNA from 1 species
AAGUCGAACGGUGAAGCCAAGCUUGCUUGGUGGAUCAGUGGCGAACGGGUGAGUAACACGUGAGCAACCUGCCCUGGACUCUGGGAUAAGCGCUGGAAACGGCGUCUAAUACUGGAUAUGAGCUCUCAUCGCAUGGUGGGGGUUGGAAAGAUUUUUCGGUCUGGGAUGGGCUCGCGGCCUAUCAGCUUGUUGGUGAGGUAAUGGCUCACCAAGGCGUCGACGGGUAGCCGGCCUGAGAGGGUGACCGGCCACACUGGGACUGAGACACGGCCCAGACUCCUACGGGAGGCAGCAGUGGGGAAUAUUGCACAAUGGGCGGAAGCCUGAUGCAGCAACGCCGCGUGAGGGAUGACGGCCUUCGGGUUGUAAACCUCUUUUAGCAGGGAAGAAGCGAGAGUGACGGUACCUGCAGAAAAAGCGCCGGCUAACUACGUGCCAGCAGCCGCGGUAAUACGUAGGGCGCAAGCGUUAUCCGGAAUUAUUGGGCGUAAAGAGCUCGUAGGCGGUUUGUCGCGUCUGCUGUGAAAUCCCGAGGCUCAACCUCGGGCCUGCAGUGGGUACGGGCAGACUAGAGUGCGGUAGGGGAGAUUGGAAUUCCUGGUGUAGCGGUGGAAUGCGCAGAUAUCAGGAGGAACACCGAUGGCGAAGGCAGAUCUCUGGGCCGUAACUGACGCUGAGGAGCGAAAGGGUGGGGAGCAAACAGGCUUAGAUACCCUGGUAGUCCACCCCGUAAACGUUGGGAACUAGUUGUGGGGACCAUUCCACGGUUUCCGUGACGCAGCUAACGCAUUAAGUUCCCCGCCUGGGGAGUACGGCCGCAAGGCUAAAACUCAAAGGAAUUGACGGGGACCCGCACAAGCGGCGGAGCAUGCGGAUUAAUUCGAUGCAACGCGAAGAACCUUACCAAGGCUUGACAUACACCAGAACACCGUAGAAAUACGGGACUCUUUGGACACUGGUGAACAGGUGGUGCAUGGUUGUCGUCAGCUCGUGUCGUGAGAUGUUGGGUUAAGUCCCGCAACGAGCGCAACCCUCGUUCUAUGUUGCCAGCACGUAAUGGUGGGAACUCAUGGGAUACUGCCGGGGUCAACUCGGAGGAAGGUGGGGAUGACGUCAAAUCAUCAUGCCCCUUAUGUCUUGGGCUUCACGCAUGCUACAAUGGCCGGUACAAAGGGCUGCAAUACCGUGAGGUGGAGCGAAUCCCAAAAAGCCGGUCCCAGUUCGGAUUGAGGUCUGCAACUCGACCUCAUGAAGUCGGAGUCGCUAGUAAUCGCAGAUCAGCAACGCUGCGGUGAAUACGUUCCCGGGUCUUGUACACACCGCCCGUCAAGUCAUGAAAGUCGGUAACACCUGAAGCCGGUGGCCCAACCCUUGUGGAGG